rnacentral:rRNA from 1 species
UACGGGGGGGGCAAGCGUUGUUCGGAAUUACUGGGCGUAAAGGGCGUGUAGGCGGCCAACUAAGUCCGACGUGAAAUCCCCAGGCUUAACCCGGGAACUGCGUCCGAUACUGGAAGGCUUGAAUCCGGGAGAGGGGGGUGGAAUUCCGCGUGUAGCAGUGAAAUGCGUAGAGAUGCGGAGGAACACCGAUGGCGAAGGCAGCCCCCUGGGCCGACAUUGACGCUCAGGCACGAAAGCGUGGGGAGCAAACAGG